GCAUGAGGAGAGAGAAUAGGCAAUCUAUUUAUUAUUUGGUGAGAGCAUUUUUGUGCUUCAUCCUUGUUUUGAUAGAACCGUGAGAGACGAAGAGAACCGUGAGUGAUCAAUUCCUUAGAUCCUUGCGGGGAAUUUUGAAGAAGAUUAAGGAAGCUAGAGAAGAAGAAGAUUUAAAGGGGAAAUCAAAUCUAAUUGCUGAAAUUAAAAUUUGAGGUUCGAGCAUAAGGACGAAUCCACCGGCAGAACACUGUGAGCAAAGAGUUGACCAAACCCAACCUCAGUGAAAGAUAUGAAAGGAAGUCAAGUUUUAUGGAGUUAGCCUGCACGUCUCACGCACGAGACUUUAUUUUUGUUCUUGUGUUCACACUUUUGCUUGGCCGGUGAAUACGUUGGAUCAUCCAUGUAUAUAAGUUUGUUUUGUUUGACUGACUGCAUGUUUUGGAGUUCCUAGAUGUAUAAGAUAUUAACUCUGUUUUUAUGUGUGAGAUAUUAUGGACUAUUUAUGAAAUGUUUCGCUUUUUUUUUUUUGGGUAAAAAAGAAAUGUUUCGCUUUAUCAUGUAAGCACAGCUCAUUGGACA